UAGGGAAUCUUCGGCAAUGGACGAAAGUCUGACCGAGCAACGCCGCGUGAGUGAAGAAGGUUUUCGGAUCGUAAAACUCUGUUGUUAGAGAAGAACAAGGACGUUAGUAACUGAACGUCCCCUGACGGUAUCUAACCAGAAAGCCACGGCUAACUACGUGCCAGCAGCCGCGGUAAUACGUAGGUGGCAAGCGUUGUCCGGAUUUAUUGGGCGUAAAGCGAGCGCAGGAGGUUUCUUAAGUCUGAUGUGAAAGCCCCCGGCUCAACCGGGGAGGGUCAUUGGAAACUGGGAGACUUGAGUGCAGAAGAGGAGAAUGGAAUUCCAUGUGUAGCGGUGAAAUGCGUAGAUAUAUGGAGGAACACCAGUGGCGAAGGCGGCUCUCUGGUCUGUAACUGACGCUGAGGCUCGAAAGCGUGGGGAGCAAACAGG
rnacentral:rRNA from 1 species